UGGGGAAUAUUGCACAAUGGGCGCAAGCCUGAUGCAGCCAUGCCGCGUGUAUGAAGAAGGCCUUCGGGUUGUAACGUACUUUCAGUCGGGAGGAAGGUGUCAAGGUUAAUAACCUUGGCAAUUGACGUUACCGACAGAAGAAGCACCGGCUAACUCCGUGCCAGCAGCCGCGGUAAUACGGAGGGUGCAAGCGUUAAUCGGAAUUACUGGGCGUAAAGCGCACGCAGGCGGUUUGUUAAGUCAGAUGUGAAAUCCCCGGGCUCAACCUGGGAACUGCAUCUGAUACUGGCAAGCUUGAGUCUCGUAGAGGGGGGUAGAAUUCCAGGUGUAGCGGUGAAAUGCGUAGAGAUCUGGAGGAAUACCGGUGGCGAAGGCGGCCCCCUGGACGAAGACUGACGCUCAGGUGCGAAAGCGUGGGGAGCAAACAGG
rnacentral:rRNA from 1 species